rnacentral:rRNA from 1 species
UACGUAGGGGGCUAGCGUUGUCCGGAAUCAUUGGGCGUAAAGCGCGUGUAGGCGGUCCGGUAAGUCCGCUGUGAAAGUCGGGGGCUCAACCCUCGGAUGCCGGUGGAUACUGUCGGGCUUGAGUACGGAAGAGGCGAGUGGAAUUCCUGGUGUAGCGGUGAAAUGCGCAGAUAUCAGGAGGAACACCGGUGGCGAAGGCGGCUACCUGGACAGAAACUGACGCUGAGGCGCGAAAGCUAGGGGAGCAAACAGG